AAAUGAAAAAGAAAAUAGCCAAAUCUAAGUAUUAGACGACCUUCCAGUCUACCUGAUGUAUGAUCUCUGUAGUUCUGAAA
ensembl:snoRNA